UGAGGUUCUGAGAACAUCCUGAUUUUCAUUAGAACAGAAAAAGUAGCAUAAUUAACUUUCCCAUUCUGUCCUUGUGGUAUCCUUAUGGAUUCUUCCACACUAAUUCCAAAUUUAAGAUCUGAUAACACUGGGGCUGUCAUCCCAAUCCUGUAACUUUUCUGUGCUGUUUAAAGCAAAGCAUUUCACACAGCAGUCUGACCACUGGACGAUCUCAUUGCUGAAGGACAGGAUUGAUUCUUACAUUCUCACAGGAUUGCUUUAUAUAUUUAUUAAUACUGUUUCCUUUUUCAGCACUAACACCAUCUUUUAAAAAUUGCACAGCUGUCUCUUUCCAAAGCGAUUCAUCAUUCCUGGGGCUUUCUUUAGGACUGACUUCCUGGGCAGCCUGGCCUGGUGGUUGCUGACCCUGCACAUAGCAGGAGGGUUGAAACUAGAUGAUCAUUGUUGUCCUUUUCAACCCAGGCCUGUGUGUGAUUCUGUGACUUCAAUGCUUUAUUUUAUUUUUGUGAGCAGCCAUACAUUAAAAACGGCAGCAUUUCAAGCCUUCCAAUUCCAUAUCUAGUCCUUAUUCAUAGGAAACAUGCAGCAAGGUCCACCCAGCACGAGCUCCUCACUAACAGGGGAAUCCCAGCAGCACCAACCACUGCAAUCCUCUGAUCUAAAGAAGCGUUACUACAAACCGGGUGACCACUCGACACGCCUUCGCUUUCAGACAGAUCGGUGCUUCAGCUUUCUCCAGCUGCACCUUUCCUGAUUGCAGACUCACAGAACCUGCCGCUGCUCACCCAGCCGCAGCUGAGCACUCAUUAACUCGGGUUCACCUUUAAGCAGCCGCUGCGUUGCGGAGCUCCGUUCCGGGGGAAGGCCGGGCUUAAGGCCGCCCCUUCCCUGCUCGGCGGGGCUCGACAUGGCCGCCCCCUGCUUCUUGGGAUGGGAUUUCAGCACGCAGCAGCUGAAAGUCAUUGCUAUUGAUGAACAUCUGAGAGUCAUUUAUGAGGAUAAUGUUAAUUUUGAUAAAGACCUUCCAGAAUUUAAGACUCAAGGUGGAGCCCAUGUUCACAGUGACCGACUGACAGUCACUUCUCCUGUGCUAAUGUGGGUCAAGGCUCUGGAUAUGAUUUUGGAAAAGAUGAAGUCUUCAGGAUUUAACUUCUCUCAAGUCAGAGCUUUGUCUGGUGCCGGCCAGCAACAUGGAAGUGUGUAUUGGAAGAAAGGAAGUAUCCAAAUCUUAAAGGGUGUAUCACCGGAGCUGCCUUUACAUCAGUCACUGAAGGCUUGUUUUGCUGUCAGUAACAGCCCCAUCUGGAUGGAUUCUAGCACAGCUUUACAGUGCAGUGCUCUGGAGGAUGCUGUGGGAGGAGCACAGCACUUAGCAAAUAUCACUGGUUCUCGAGCCUACGAGCGUUUUACAGGAAACCAGAUAGCAAAGAUUUACAACCAGAAUCCUGAGGUCUACGCACAAACUGAGAGGAUCUCUUUAGUUAGCAGUUUUGCUGCUUCCCUUUUCCUAGGAGCUUAUGCACCCAUUGAUUACAGUGAUGGUUCUGGUAUGAAUCUGCUGCAAAUUUGGGAAAAGGUGUGGUCGGCACCCUGCCUUGAUGCUUGUGCACCAGGGUUAGUGGAGAAACUGGGAAACCCUGUGCCAUCCCAUUCAGUUCUGGGAUCCAUUUCUCCGUAUUAUGUUCAGCGUUAUGAGUUUAGCCCAGACUGUAAAAUAGUAGCCUUUACAGGAGACAAUCCAGCAUCAUUGGCGGGGAUGAGGCUUCAAGAAGGAGAUAUUGCAAUUAGCCUUGGCACAAGUGACACAUUGUUUCUGUGGAUCCAGGAGCCAACUCCAGCCUUAGAAGGUCAUAUCCUCUGCAAUCCUGUUGAUUCUCAAACAUACAUGGCACUUUUAUGUUUUAAGAACGGCUCACUGAUGAGAGAGAGGAUCCGAAAUGAGUGUGCUUCAGGCUCCUGGGAUGACUUCUCCAAAGCUUUAUCAUCUACUGUUGCUGGAAACAAUGGGAACUUGGGUUUCUACUUUGAUGUGAUGGAAAUCACUCCUGAAGCAGUUGGGAUUCACAGAUUCAACAGCGAGAACCAAAAGGUUUUGAACUUUCCAAAGGAGGUGGAAAUACGAGCCUUGAUUGAAGGGCAGUUCAUGGCCAAGAGGAUUCAUGCUGAAAAGCUGGGGUAUAAAGUCAUGCCCAAAACAAGGAUUUUGGCUACAGGUGGAGCAUCCCAUAAUAAAAAAAUAUUACAGGUCCUGUCUGAUGUGUUCAAUGCUCCAGUGUACACUAUUGAUACCGCCAACUCUGCUUGUUUAGGAAGUGCUUACAGAGCGAUUCAUGGACUUGUAGCUGAGACAAAUGUGCCCUUGGCUGAUGUUGUGAAAUUAGCACCAGAGCCCAGAUUGGCUGUUACACCAACUGCUGGGGCUGAGGAGGUACUCAUCAGCCCUGGGAAAUGUCACUUGUCCUCAGAUCUCAGAUGUGGCCCAAGGAUGAAAUUAGAAAAGCUAGAAGUGAGGUGGAGCUGUUGAGGGAGUGAAGGCUAAGAAUGAGGAUUUCUAUAGUGUCGGGAGCUGAGUGACAGAUGCACACUGAUGGAGCACAGCGCAUUGAUUUUUGCUGCUGCAGUACUUUAUGCUCAAAGAAAUACAGCUUUUAAAACGAUGGAGGACCCCUAUUCAGAAAAAACAGGAGGCUCCUCAGCAAUGUUGAUUUUCCAAUGGCAGCCACUCUAAGAAAUUCCUGUUCCCACCUUCCUCAAGCCACGGCUUUCUGCUCCUGGAUGUCAGCCCUGUUCUUUGAGCUGGGCACACCUGAACCUGCUGUAUUUCAGAAGUUGUAUUUUCCCUGGAGGAGCAGUAGAAGCCCAGCCACCAUGCAUUCCCUGCACUACACCAUGCCAGAGGGAUACCAAAACUCAGUGACUGGAGCCAAACGAUUGUUCCAUGUGUCUGUGCAUCAGUGAUUUGGGGAGGACAGAAGAGGAAAUGGUUUGUUUUGAAGAUGUGCCAUGAUAGGCAAUUCAAGCUUGCUUAUCUUUUCACACAUGCCAGCUUGGAUAACUUGGGUGGAAAACUGAAGUGAAGCCAAGUCCUCAGCUUCUCACAGCCCUGGCAGCAGUCACCAGUGCCCACCUGGAGCUGAGCAGCUGGGGAGCAUCUUGACCCCGACCCAAGGGCUGGAGGUGACUGCAACACUGCUGUUUUAGUGCUUAUUUCCUAGGGCAAACAAAAAUGCUGCUCCCAUCUGCCCUUCAGAGGCACCCAGGAGGCAUCCAAAUCAGCUCCUAGUUUUGGGAAUGAGUUUGCCUUCUUCCCUGGGAUAUGAUAGCCUGCAACUCGGGAGGAGUUCACAAAGCACGCCCUAUUCCUGACUGCCCAGGAGUGUUGUAUCAGCCCAUUAUAGGCCUGAUAUUGCAUUAAGGAUAAAAGCUUUCCAGCCAGCAGUAGGGAUGCGUGAAGUUUCUUCAGUGAAAGACCACAGAAUGCUUUGGGGUUGCUGGGAGAUGGGUUUUGUAUGCAGCACAUCCCACAUCUCAGUGCUGCUCUCCAGAGCUGUUUGCUAGCAAAUUGCCAGGAUUUGAAAUUCAGGUAAGUUGCAGGAUGAAAAAAUACCCUUCCCCAUAUUGCUAUGACCUUUUUGGUGGUUUAUUUGUUAAAGGCAUUACUGUUCCCCUCGGGAAUGGUGCCUUCCUCUGUUUUAUGCUCUAAGGAUGUGGCUCUUUUCAUGUUUAUCUUUGAUUCAAGCAUUGUAAAGAGCAAUCCCUCACACUUAUGCGCUUCAUUGUAUUCUGGCCAUGAGAGAUUCUCCCCCACUGUUUGUAGCCUUUUUUCAGUGCAGCUAGUAAAAUAUUUGAACAGGGAAGAAAAAAAAAAAAAAGAAAAAAGAAAAAAAAGAAAGAAAAAGAGACACUAAACAGCUUCCAGCAUUUAGAGGAUAAAAUGAGAUGUAAGGAAAAGGACGACUGUGGUUAAUGCACAGGGCUGGGAGGCUUCAGAUGGACCGUGGCCUCUCUUCGUUUCUCUUCUGACUUCUUCUGUGACUUUGUCUAAGUUAUUUGACCUCCUCCUGCUGUAGCUCUGGGGUGUUAAACACACACCAUGUUUUCUGCUUGGAAAACCCAAGCUUGCUGUCCCCAGAGAGCAGAGCUCAGCAUUGCCCAUCCUCUCCCCAUGAGAAGCUGUAUGACCAUGAGCCCUGAUCAUCCUCUGCUCUGUGCCCAACAAACCCAGGGCCCUCAGCCACCCCUCACACUCCUUGCCCUCUCAUGUGGAUGCAUGUCAGCAUGUGAUACAGCCUGGUUUUCUUCCCUAAUUUCAGAUGACACAUGGAAGCUGAUUUGCACAGGGUGGGUGCAAACCAAUGGCUCAUCCACUGAAAAAUAAUUAAAUUUCAAUGGGUUACAGCAGGCAAGCUGGAAUCCAAGGAUCCUAAUGCUGGUUAUGAGGGGGUGGUUAAGGGGACACCUAAGUGGGCGAGGGUCUGUUGUAGUCCAGAUAAGCCCUCAGGAUUCAGAGUUUUCCUAAAUUUCUGGGGCAUAAUGGCACAGCUGGCGACAGAGCACCAAGUGAAUAUUUGACAUAAAUAAACCAAUGUUCCUAUGUGGGAGAAGGGCAGAGGGAGCCUGUGAAUUAAUGAUCAGCUUUUAAUUUGUCCUUUCAUUGGAAUCAAUGAAAAUGUCAGGAUGAUUGAGGUUUAUGUGCUCAUGGGAAAGAUGUGAGCCCAAGAGUAAGAGAUCAAGGCUAUUUUUUAAUAUAUUUGUUUCACAGAGGAAGAUGCUUCCCUUCAUCUCUAAUACCAGAGAAGGAUUUGCUAUGGGUGAAUUGCUGAGGAAGCCUGGGCAGUGUGUAUUGGAACAGGGUGCCCAGGGAGGUGGUGGAGUCACUGUCCCUGGAGGUGCUCAAGAACUGUGGAGAUGUGGCAUAGGGAGGGACGAGGUCAGUGGAUGUGGUGGGAUGGGUUGACAGCUGGACUAGAAGACCUUAAAGGUCUUUUCCAACCUUUAUGAUUCUGUAAUUCAUUCAAGUCUCAGCAGAGACCUGCCACCCUUGAGCUGUGGGCUGCUGGCUGUCCUCGGGCACAGGUGCAGCCUACCUGGUGCUGGUUUUUCUGGCUGCAGGCAUACCCUGUUUGCUCACCCCAAUGCCAGAUCUGCUGUGGAAGGCUGGGUGUAAUUCCUGGUUUGAAAAGGGUGGAUCUGCUGAUGGAUGUGAAAAGCUGGCACUAAUGUCCUGGAGGCAGAACUGGCUUUGGAUCAUGACUGCUGGAAAUACUGUUGUUUUAUCACCUGAAAUGGGCACCUCCUUCCUUUUCUUCAGCCAAAACAGGGGUUUCUGCAUCCCUGCAAUGCUCAGGCAUACAAAUCUUCUGUUUUAGCAACUCAGUGCUGGUCACAGUGCUAUUAGUAAAAUAGUCAAGAGAGUGGGCAUGGGUUUAGCUUCCUAUAGGAGGCAGGAAGAACCUGCAGGGUAAACAAUGACCUGGAGUGGUGGAUUCAUUUGCAUGUUUCCUCUGUCUUGAUGGAGGCUUCAUGCAGCCCCUUGGCACAGAGAAAGUGUCUGCAAACUGCCAGGCACGCUUUGGCCUAAUUAAAUAUUCAUGGUGACAAAAUGUCACAAGCACAGGGGAGUUUUCAGCAACUGCUUCACCCCAGCUAGCAGACACCCUGCUCACUCCAGCAGGGCUCCUGUGAUGCAUUACCACCCUUCCUCUGCACUCACCUGCUCACCUUGCUCUGCAGCAAAACCAGGGCAAGGAUGAGCUGGGCUUUUGCAUCUCACAUCUGCUUUGUCUCAGGGCAUCAGUCCCCCAGAUACGUUUAUUUUGUCUUUGAGGGACCUGAUAUUGCAGCCUGUGCUCUGCUCUGUGGGUUCUGGAGUUGAGUUGAGGUCUUCUGCAGGUGGAUCACAGCCAGACUGUGACCUGCAGCUCCUUUCUUCUGCACAUUGGCUCAGGCUGGCUUUUUGUUACAGAAAUGUUGUCACUCCUGACACUUCCAGACAUGAGCAAUGCAACCGUGUUCCUGCCAGCAAACACAGCCCUCAACAAGAGCUUCUGUGAUAACAUCAGCUCCUCUGCUGCUGCUUUGUUUUCAACCUUCUCAUGGAACUGACCUCAUAGUUUCCUAAUUUAGAGCUGGUGACACAGUGUGGGGAACGUGCAUGCUCAACACCUGUGGUGACAAGGCCAGCAGGACACCUUCCAGCAACCUGCCCUGAGCCAAAGCUGUGUUCCAGUGGCUGCUGAGCUUCCCCAGGGCCCCAGCAGGCAGGGGUUUAACCCAAAUAAGGAUCAACUAUCACAUCAACCUGGAAAUAGAAGGGAAGAAGGGAAGUCCUGGUUUUCAGCUAUAUUUCUCAUUUAAGAACAUUUAUCUUUUGGAAUGAUAUGCUUUUCUUGCAGAAGGCAGAAAGCUGGAUUUCCAGGUGAUCCAUCAAGUCAGCCUAAUGCCCAUCCUAUGAUCUCGCUGCUCCUUUCUGCUUUAGGAUCUGCAUAGGAUAUAUGCUAAAAGCCUUUCUGUUCUGGAAUAGUUUACUCAGAGUGGAAGCAUCUCUCAGAAUCCUUAUUUUGUCUUCUUCAUCUCCCAGUAUCCCUCCCAGCCAUGGGAACUACAUCCUCUCUGAGCUGCAUGAGCUCCCUGUUGUUACUGCUCUUGCUGCUCUUGUUACUGAGAUGCCCAACCCAGCGUUACACUUGUAACUUGUAGAGCUGUACCUGGGCAGUGAAUGGCAUGGAUGAAUCAUAGAAUCAUAGAAUGGCUUGGAUUGGAAGUGAACUCCAAGAUCAUCUAUUCCCAACCCCCUGCCAUGGGCAGGGUUGCCAGCCACUAGAUAGUGCUUUAUGUAAAACCCUAGGCAACAGAAAUACUCCAGGGAGAUGAUUUUUAGUGGCUUUAACUUCCCAGCUGGUUAUUUAGCCAUCUUCACCAGAAAGUUGUCUCAGUGAAAUGAGAACUCGCCCACAUUCAGGAUAAACUCACGGUUCUUUUACUUUUACUUUUUUUUUUUUUAGUUUCGGAAAAUGUCGCGCUGUCUGUGGUGGUGGAUGUGUGUGUGUGUUUUAUUUUCUGUGUGUGGCAUCCCUGCAUAUGUCUUGGAUUGCUUCAGUAGCUGUAAUAGCAAAACAAGCUUUUCUUUAUUCAAAAAUAGAAAUGGGAUGAUCAAACAGCUCAGACUAGGGCUAUGCGUAAUGCUUUAUUUUUUAACCAAUUAUUUAGUAGUUAUCAAUAACAAUAACUAUUAUUACCACGACUCCUUACGCUCUGGCUUUCCUCAUCACUCCUUAGAGUUUGCAAAACAUUGUGAAAGCCCAUUCCUGUUUGUUUUCUGCCCAAUGAGGAUGUUGUGAAUUCUGCUGCAAUCUGCCUGGAGGUUUUUGGAAGCCAAAGACAGCAGUUUGUGCAGUGCACUGGAAGGCCACAUCCCCACACAGCUCUGGUAUGGGGGAUGCUGCAGUGAGGCACAGAGUUUGCUCUUACACUGCUUCAGUGGAGAUUUGCAUUUUGUUCAUGCUCAAUGACUGGGGAGUGUCCAUAUGUCCUUUAAGUGAAUAUCACAGGGAUGCUCUGAAUUUUGGGCAAGGAGUGCUGGUACUUGCAAAUACAGCAUAGUGGGAUUGGUUGGCUUGAACCUGAAACCUAAGGGAUAGUAAUUGGUAGCAGAGUGACACACUGGAACAGGUUGCCCAAGGAGGCUGUGGAUGCCCCAUCCCUGCAGGCAUUCAAGGCCAGGCUGG